CAGUCGCCGCGGUAAUACGUAGGUCCCGAGCGUUGUCCGGAUUUAUUGGGCGUAAAGCGAGCGCAGGCGGUUAAAUAAGUCUGAAGUUAAAGGCUGUGGCUUAACCAUAGUACGCUUUGGAAACUGUUUAACUUGAGUGCAAGAGGGGAGAGUGGAAUUCCAUGUGUAGCGGUGAAAUGCGUAGAUAUAUGGAGGAACACCGGUGGCGAAAGCGGCUCUCUGGCUUGUGACUGACGCUGAGGCUCGAAAGCGUGGGGAGCAAACAGGAUUAGAUACCCCAGUAGUCCCUGUCUCUUAUACC
rnacentral:rRNA from 1 species